UCAAUAAGCGGAGGAAAAGAAACCAACAGGGAUUGCCCUAGUAACGGCGAGUGAAGCGGCAACAGCUCAAAUUUGAAAUCUGGCGCAAGCCCGAGUUGUAAUUUGUAGAGGAUGCUUCUGGGCAGCGGCCGGUCUAAGUUCCUUGGAACAGGACGUCACAGAGGGUGAGAAUCCCGUACGUGACCGGCGCGCACCCUCCACGUAGCUCCUUCGACGAGUCGAGUUGUUUGGGAAUGCAGCUCUAAAUGGGAGGUAAAUUUCUUCUAAAGCUAAAUACCGGCCAGAGACCGAUAGCGCACAAGUAGAGUGAUCGAAAGAUGAAAAGCACUUUGGAAAGAGAGUUAAAAAGCACGUGAAAUUGUUGAAAGGGAAGCGCUUGCAACCAGACUCCGCGGCGGUGUUCCGCCGGUCUUCUGACCGGUCCACUCGCCGCCGCGGGGCCAACAUCGUCUGGGGCCGCCGGACAAGACUGGAGGAAUGUGGCUCCCUCGGGAGUGUUAUAGCCCUCAGUGAUGCGGCGUGUCCCGGGCGAGGUCCGCGCUUCGGCAAGGAUGUUGGCGUAAUGGUUGCCAGCGGCCCGUCUUGAAACACGGACCAAGGAGUCUAACAUCUAUGCGAGUGUUCGGGUGUCAAACCCCUACGCGUAAUGAAAGUGAACGGAGGUGGGAGCUUCGGCGCACCAUCGACCGAUCCUGAUGUCCUCGGAUGGAUUUGAGUAAGAGCAUAGCUGUUGGGACCCGAAAGAUGGUGAACUAUGCCUGAAUAGGGUGAAGCCAGAGGAAACUCUGGUGGAGGCUCGCAGCGGUUCUGACGUGCAAAUCGAUCGUCAAAUUUGGGGUAUAGGGGCGAAAGACUAAUCGAACCAUCUAGUAGCUGGUUCCUGCCGAU
rnacentral:rRNA from 1 species